CAAACCCUUAUUCUCAAAUAGGUAUGUGCUUCUUCUUUCUCCUCAUUUUUUCUUGUCUUCCUACCCUAGCCACCACCGCUACUUCUGCAAACCCCAUGCCCCUCUCUCUUUCUAACACUCACACCUUCUCCUUCAUCUCUCCCUCUCACAAUUAAUUUAAGGUUUGUGAUUGGAUUAGAAGUAAAUUAAAAGAAAGGUAUGUAAUUCUCUCUUAAUUAUAAAUUAGUUAGUUAGAAUUUGUUUAAUUGUGAUAUAUAUGUAUGUUCAAAAUUAUGUGCUAUGUGAAACUUUGAGUUUGUGUGUUACGCAAAUUUAAUUUGUGCAGCUUUAGUCUAGAAAUCGUGGUGUAAAAUUUGUUAAAAUUUCAUAACCAUUUAUACGAAAUUAAUUAUGUUGA